UGCCACCAUGAAAGAUGUGCGUUUCACGUUCCACUAUGAUUGUGAGGCCUCCCCAGCUGCAUGGAACUAGACAAGGUCUCGCUAUGUUGCCAAGUUUGGCCUUGAACUCCUGGCCUCAAGCAAUCUUCCCACCUUGGCCUCCUGAGUUGCUGGGAUUUCAGUUAACUUAUCAAAACAGUAAUGCUAUGUCAUAAUAUCACAUAGUUUUGAAACCGUUUUCAG
rnacentral:lncRNA from 1 species